rnacentral:sRNA from 1 species
UCAGACUGAGCAUUUGUUAAAAAAAUUUCGCAUGGUGAAUCCCCCUGUGUGGAGGGGCGACUGGUGAAAAAUCCUUGCUUGUGAUUCAUUAUCGACACGGGUUCGGUGGUACCAGGCCGAACUCACCGGGAGGCACCCGGCACCAUGCAAUGGCACAUAGCGCCACUCUCCAGCCCCUCUCCGGAGGGGCUUUCUUAUGGAC